rnacentral:rRNA from 1 species
GUUUUGGUGAUUCAAGCCAAGGGGUAACACCUCUUCCCAUCCCGAACAGAGCCGUUAAGCCCUUGAGCGCCGAUGAUACUCAGGCAUUAGCCUGUGGGAAAGUAGGCCAUCGCCAAAACA